UAUAUAAAUGGAAAAAGCCCACUAUAUAGACGAUCGCGCUACCGGAUGCGUGACUGUGUAUUCCACUUUUUGGUGGAACACGUGUUACGCAUCCAGCAGCGCGAUGGUCAUUAUGCUACAAGACUUAUAUCUGCUAAGAGAUAUGCCAGUAUAUAUACUACUUAAUUUAAUAUUAUUACAAAAAUGCUUGUCCAGUAUCUUCAGUUGAUAAAGUACUUGGAACUGUUUCAAAUGGAAAGGUCAAACAAACUAAUUCAGAUGGAAAUGUUCCUUCACGUACUUCACACAAGAAGGUUGCUCGGACAAGAAAACAGAAACGUAGACGUAAGAAGAAGCACCUUUUUAGUUUCAGAAAAAUCAAACGUUUCUUCAAAGGAAGAAAAUAUAGUAAUAAAUUGGAUGCUAAAAAGAAGAAACGGAACAAGGUAAUGAAUUUAGACAAGAAGGUGCAAGUAAAUAAUUCACAGACAACUCCUCAACGCACUUUAAUUGAACAGCUUUUUCGAAGAGACAA
rnacentral:lncRNA from 1 species